GGAACUUGCGGUGUAGGAGUGAAAUCCGUUGAUAUCGCAAGGAACACCAAAGGCGAAGGCAUUGCACUGGGCUGGUACUGACCCUGAGAGACGAAAGCGUGGGGAGCAAAACGGAUUAGAUACCCGUGUAGUCCACGCCGUAAACGAUGGAUACUAGAUGUUCGGGGAUUCGACCCCCUGGGUGUCACAGCUAACGCGUUAAGUAUCCCGCCUGGGAAGUACGGCCGCAAGGCUAAAACUCAAAGGAAUAGACGGGGAUCCGCACAAGCGGUGGAGCGUCUGGUUUAAUUUGAUAGUAAGCAAUGGACCUCACCAAGGUUUGACAUCCUAUGACAACCCUGGAAACAGGGCUUCCUUCGGGCAUAGUGACAGGUGCUGCAUGGUCGUCGUCAGUUCGUGCCGUGAGGUGUUCCGCUAAGUCGGGAAACGAACGAAACCCUCGUCGCAUGUUACAAAUUUCAUGCGAGACUGCCCGGGUCAACCGGGAGGAAGGCGGGGAUGACGUCAGAUCAGCAUGGCCCUUAUACCUUGGGCUACACAGGCGCUACAAUGGCCGGUACAAAGGGUUGCAAAACCGCGAGGUGAAGCUAAUCCCAUAAAGCCGGUCCAAGUUCGGAUUGGAGGCUGCAACUCGCCUCCAUGAAGUUGGAAUCGCUAGUAAUCGUGGAUCAGCCAUACCACGGUGAAUACGUUCCCGGAUCUUGUACUCACCGCCCGUCACACCAAGAGAGUUGGUAGCUCACUGAAGCGUCGCAUUAGCGGCACCACGGAGAGAUCAGCGAUAGGGGUG
rnacentral:rRNA from 1 species